AGAACAGGAAGGCAGAAGGAGUCACUGCCAGCUACCGCCAUGAACAGCAGCAUGUGAAGAUGCCGGAGUGGAGUCCUGUGAGGAGAAGUCUGAGUGCUUGUGAGAACACUCCAAGAGAACAAGACAAGAGUCUUGUGGCCUCAGUUUCUUCAAAACAUGGAACUUUUCUUGGAAUGUGUUUUCCUGCUUCUCCCAGGUGUAGUGGAUAAGAGUUCUGGGCUCAGCAAAUGUAACAGAUGUGUGGAACACCCCUCCCCCACGCUAGUAAAAGCUGCUGAAGUUACAGCGUGUCCGUUAUCCGGCUGGCCACCUCUGCUCUCCGGAUAGUGACCCUCAGAAGGUCAAGGACUGGGCUGUGAGACGCUCCAAGGAAUCAGACCCAAAUCCAUAAUUUUGAGAAGACAAGUCUCUUAUUUUUUGUCAAGAAAGAGACCAUUCAAAUGUCGUUAACAGCACAGGCUUUUCACAAUCUAAUUCAUGCAAAGAGUUUGAGUGGUUUUUGUUGUUAACUGAACUAAGUAAACGAUUGCACAUGUACAUGCCAAGAAGAAAUAGGAAGCAUCUGUGUAUCAAUAUGGACCAACCUCUGGGAUAUAUUAAACAAAAGAGCCAACUAUAGAACACUGUGUGUGCGCACACAGGGAAGAAAACUGCGUGUUGUGCAAUAUUUUAAAAUUAGAGACCAGAAAUAUGAAUUAUAAAAUAAAAAAAAAAGAUUACCUGUAAGAGAAGAAAAAAAGGGUAAUGAGGUAAGAACAAACGUUUAGACUCUUUGUAAAUGGAUUUGGUAGAUUGGACUUUGGAAUCAUGUAAAUGUUUCAUGUAAUCAUCAAAAACUUACUUUAAAAAUAUUAAGGGGUUUCAGAGACAACUGAGCUGUUAAGAUCAAAGUACUGUUUUCCAGAGGCCCCAAGUUCUGUUCGAAACACCUGAUCUCCACACCUGUUCUCUCUCUCUCUCUCUCUCUCUCUCUCUCUCUCUCUCUCUCUCUUUCUCUCUCUC